CUACCUUUUUGGUUUUCCCGACCAAUCAGUAAAAAGAAAAAGAAAAAAGAGCAUGACUCUAAAAGAUGUAUAUUUAUAAACAGUGUGGUGUGUUAUUAAUAGUUGGUGUGUGUUGUAAAUGACACCAAAACUAGAGUAAAACGAUGACAUUAAAAAAAGACAAAAGGUAUUUUCUUCUCAUACUCCAAUGGACCACUUAUAGGCUCCCUGAAGGAGUAUACUCGUUUGUGGACCCCUGUUUUGGGUCAUGAAGCCAGCAUGGCAAAUGCGUAGAAAUCCUGCUCAUUUGGGUGUGUGUUAGGGUUUGACGGCUUACUUCACUUCAUUUGUAGUACUGAGUUGCCAAACCCUGGCAACACAUGCCUAAGAACUUGAGGGUGUGGAAAAACGUAACUGGACAAAGUGGAAAAUAAAGGUUCUCAACUGAAUGAAGCAAAGACCAGACAUGAAUGACCUUCACUGUAGAGGCUGGGGACUAGAGUAGCAAAUGUUUUUAUUUUCCUGUAUACCUUUAAGACAGACCAAGAACUUUGGA
rnacentral:lncRNA from 1 species